CUGACGGGGGGCUUGAACCUGUGAACUGUGAGAUCAUGACUGGUGCUGAAAUCAAGAGUCAGAUCCUUAACCGACUGAGCCAUCCAAGCACUUCACUCUCACCCCAUUUUAUACAGCAGUCAGAAGCUGCCUUGCCUUUUGUUUCCUAGAGGAUCCCGCUCUACAAACAAACCAAUGAUUUCCAGGCACGUCCUGGGCAUCCGAGCACCUGUCAAUGCACAGCGUCCCUGUGUUUUCCCAGGUCUAUUACCCUGGCUUUUCCUAGAGUUUCUUGAUCUGUUUCUCAGACUCCCCCACUCUGCAGGAUCACAGCCCACUUGUCGAGAGCUCUCAUGAUUCAUCCAGAAUCUUGACAGCCCUUUGUUUCCUCCAUUCCAGAACCUUUGUUGGAGGAUCCAGAAUAGGUUAGGAUUACCUUUGACCAUAGAAAUGAUUGCAGCAGUUUAGCCAAACAGAGGUCGAUUUUUCUUCUCUACCUGGAACUCCAGAGGGGACAGUGGCCUUGGCUCUCUGAAUCUGCUCCAGGAUGACCUGGUCCACCAUCCUCAAGGCCGGUUCAUAGAGAUCUGCCUGAAUCUGCUUGGUGUUAUAUGGAUGUACUGAAACUUCUUAAAUGAUUCUCCUACUGAAGGGCAUUUAGCUCGCUUCCAUUUGUUACCCACAAUGCUGCAGUGCACAGUUCCCCACAAUGGACUUUAAUCACCUCUGUCACUUCUCCAAGCUUCAAUUUCCAUCUCCAAUGUGCCUGCUUUGGCUGCAUUUUCAAGCUUCAGGUAGUGGCUUCUUGUAUUUUGUCCGGAGUUUUUAGAUGCAAUCUGCGACAGAGGUAAACCGUGGUGCCCUGCUAUGCCAGAGAUGAAGUCUAUUCAUGUGGAAAAGAACAUCUUCAAGGAGCUUGGAGAGAACAAAGAUGACAGCGGGAUGGGACAGGCACUUCGGAUUCCUCCCUUCCAUUUCCUGAAAUGGUGCUCUGGUUGUUAGGGAACCAAAAUGCCAAGUCACCUUGGAUCAAGUUUCCUCUGCCUUUCUCUCCUGGGUACUAAACUCUGGCUCUCCCACUUGCGGAGAAAAGUCAUUUAGAGAUUUAACGUUGGUUUGAUUUCUAUUAGCCAUGGUACAAUAUCAACAUUUUCCCCCAGGCAAAGGUAAAAAUGACACAUUUUUUCCAUGCGUGGUUUGUGCAUGGGUAUGUGCUCUAAGACUGUUUUUAUUAAAACAAAGCUCUUGCCUGCUUCCUGUGAGAAUCAGUGUUUUGUUGUCAGAUGAUGGGGUUUUGUGUUGCUGUGUCAGAGCCCCCCGGCUGGGGUAGGGUACUGACUGGAUUCACCCCGAGUGUAUCAGUUAAAGUAAUCUCAGAUGAAGCUGAGGGCAGAGGAGAGGGAAGAACAUUUUAAAGGAUAAAAAAAAAACAACAACAGCAAUGACAUGAAAUGGACUAUCAACCACAAACCGCCAAGUUGAUUAGUGUAAAAUUAAUAAUGUGCUCAGCGAUGGUCUCCUCCUGACUUUGGUGGGGAUUUAAUAUAUGUUUCACUCACCCAGGUAAUCUUGGUUUUUAAAAACAAAUUCCAAUGUCAAACUAAAUAGGACACUAUUCUCAUUAACGAGUUUUUUUGUCUCAGAAGUCAGAACCCCAUGGAUGGGCUCACAAGUUCUAGAAAGAAACUAAGCUGUAGACACCUAGAUAUUUAGGGCUGAAAAAAAAAUAUUUUUAAACCGUCUAGUCCAAUUUCUUUCUUUUACAACCAGAAUUGGAAACAUAAGAGAAGUUAAGCAACGUGCUAAACGUCCCAGAGCUACUGACAUAGCCCAAACUCAGACACAUGAGUAUUCACUGUCUGUUGAGCUUUCCACCAGACCACGAAGAUUCGAAGGUUUGUGGUGUCUUGCCGUCUUUGCUUUGUCUCUUUCGACGCAAGAGUUGAGGGUAGUAGAGUGGUGGACAGAAAGGGGAGUUUACA